rnacentral:rRNA from 1 species
AGGAUUCGUCCAAUUGAAGCAGAGGACAGUGGCGGACGGGUGAGUAACGCGUGAGGAACCUGCCUUUCAGAGGGGGAUAACAGUUAGAAAUGACUGCUAAUACCGCAUAAGCGCACGGUACCGCAUGGUACAGUGUGAAAAACUCCGGUGGUGUGAGAUGGAUCCGCGUCUGAUUAGGUAGUUGGUGAGGUAACGGCCCACCAAGCCGACGAUCAGUAGCCGGACUGAGAGGUUGAACGGCCACAUUGGGACUGAGAUACGGCCCAGACUCC